AUUGAACGCUGGCGGCAGGCCUAACACAUGCAAGUCGGGCGGUAGCACAGAGAGCUUGCUCUCGGGUGACAAGCGGCGGACGGGUGAGUAAUGUCUGGGAAACUGCCUGAUGGAGGGGGAUAACUACUGGAAACGGUAGCUAAUACCGCAUAACGUCGCAAGACCAAAGAGGGGGACCUUCGGGCCUCUUGCCAUCAGAUGUGCCCAGAUGGGAUUAGCUAGUAGGUGGGGUAAUAGCUCACCUAGGCGACGAUCCCUAGCUGGUCUGAGAGGCAGACCAUCCGCGCUGGGACUGGGACACGGUCCAGACUCCUACGGGGAGCAGCAGUGGGGAAUAUUGCACAAUGGGCGCAAGCCUGAUGCAGCCAUGCCGCGUGUAUGAAGAAGGCCUUCGGGUUGUAAAGUACUUUCAGCGAGGAGGAAGGCAUUGUGGUUAAUAACCACAGUGAUUGACGUUACUCGCAGAAGAAGCACCGGCUAACUCCGUGCCAGCAGCCGCCGUAA
rnacentral:rRNA from 1 species